GUCCACAGCCAUAUCACCUACAGCCCAAGACUGGUUUCUCACGGCAGCUAUAGCAGGGUUGAUCCUGGUCAGUACCUGGAUGGGAGACCACAUGGGAAGUGGUGUUAGUGAGACC
rnacentral:rRNA from 1 species